CCAAUAGCGUAUAUUAAAGUUGCUGCAGUUAAAAAGCUCGUAGUUGAAUUUCGGGACUAAUAUGUCGGUCGUGCCUCGGUACGUACUGGUAUUUCUGGUUUCUCCCUUCUGACGAACCUUGAUGUCAUUAAUUUGGUGUCUUGGGGAAUCAGGACUGUUACUUUGAAAAAAUUAGAGUGUUUAAAGCAGGCUCACGCUUGAAUACAUUAGCAUGGAAUAAUGAAAUAGGACGUUUGAUUCUAUUUUGUUGGUUUCUAGGAUCGACGUAAUGAUUAAUAGGGAUAGUUGGGGGCAUUAGUAUUCAAUUGUCAGAGGUGAAAUUCUUGGAUUUAUUGAAGACUAACUACUGCGAAAGCAUUUGCCAAGGAUGUUUUCAUUAAUCAAGAACGAAAGUUAGGGGAUCGAAGACGAUCAGAUACCGUCGUAGUCUUAACCAUAAACUAUGCCGACUAGGGAUCGGAUGAUGUUAAUUUUUUAAUGACUCAUUCGGCGCCUUACG
rnacentral:rRNA from 1 species